AUGAGCGGCGGCGCCACGGAGGGCCCCGGGGCCGGCGAGGCCGCACCGACCGGCGGCGGCACCAGGAAGCGGGACUCGCUGGGGACGGCGGGCUCGGCGGCGCAGCUCAUCAUCAAGGAUCUUGGAGAAAUUCACUCAAGGCUCCUAGAUCACAGGCCCAUCAUUCAAGGUGAAGCCCGUUAUUUCGUGAAAGAAUUUGAAGAGAAGCGUGGGCUUCGAGAAAUGCGCGUGCUCGAGAACCUCAAGCACAUGACCCAGGAGACCAGUGAGCAGACCCUGCCCCGGUGCCAAGAGGCCAUGGAGCUCAGCCUGCGCCCCCUUCUGCAGACAGUGCAAGCCGCUGCUGCGUCCGCCAGCCGCCUGCAGCAGAGGGAGCGAGACCGGAGACAGAUUCUGAACGACCAUUUAAUAGCUAGUGAGAAGAAGCAGCGAGCCCAGUGGGAGGCGUUCAUGACACAGCAGCGUGGCGAGCAGGCGGCCGUGGACGAGGAGCACAGCCGGGCCCUGGGCAGGCUCAGGGCACAGUACGCACAGAUGGAGAAGGAUCUGGCCAAGUUCUCCACCUUCUAACUCUCGCGUGGCCGGACAAGCUCCCGAGAUGGCCCUGCCUCCCCAGAACCGCCCGCCAGCCCUGCAGCCCCUGCUCCGAGCUUUGCAGCAGACUGUGUGUUCUCUCGUGCAGAAGAAGAAAGCUUCACCGGGCCUGCACCAAGUGCAGGCUAGGUGCGCACACCCUCCCCCAGCUCUCGGGGGCCCGUGGGUGACUCAGAGAGGAGCUGGCAUGCGUCUUCUGGUUGUCACUGCUGCCCUUCCCGUUCCCUGUCUCAGAGGCCGUUGGCAGAGAUGCAGAGAAGUGCUUUCACUCCCUCAUCCCACAUGCAGGGCACGUGGAGGUCCCUGAUCGGGGCUCACACAGCUGUCACGGCGGCCUGCAGCUGGCAGGGAGAUGGUGCGCGGUCCCCACCGGUGGUGGAGCCAGGUGGCGGGUGGACAUGGGUGGCCCCCGGCCCUGCAGGACUCUGGUGAUCCGCAGGGCAGUGCGAAGCCGUGAGCCCCCCGGGCACAGGACACUUGGGCUGGGUUUUGUGUCUAGCACUUAAGUGUCCAGCUUUGAAAACAGGCGUGGGAGGAAAAGCUUGGCAAAAGUAUAUUGACUUUCACCUUCCCCAGAGCCAUCGACUUGGGCUGGUGCCUAACCUCCCGUGUCCAUCUGCUUUGCUGUGGCGGCUGUGUCCGAGAGGCUCCGUCCACGUUGUUCUGGCCACUCAGUGAGGAGGGCCCAGCCCCUGAGGAGCCAGCUGGUGGCACAGCCUCACGCAGGGCUGGCCCCAAGCCCACCCAACGUGUGCCCUGGGUCACCACCGGUGAGCCCCACCGGUCUGCGAGUCCUGUCUCAUGAGCAGGUGUCAGGACAGGGCAGGCACCCCUGUCACUACGGGUCCCCAGAAGUCUGCACUCCACGCUGUGCACAGGCCCCAACUCUGCCCUUCACAUAAACCAAGCAGAAUGAAAUGCAGCAAUUUCAGGAGAUGGAUGGAGAGAGAAUUUGAAGUCUGGGUAAAUCUUCCAGGUAUCUCCUCACCACUGCCCAGCUGGCGCGUGCUGAUGCGGGGGCGCAUGCUGGGUCGCGGCUCGGCUGCCCCAGGCCUUGCGCUGCCUGACUGUCAGAAGUGGGUGAAAGUAACAGAAGAGAUAAGGAUUUGAGAUUUCCUUCAACUGGAUGUUUACCAGCUCCCCGUUGCAACUGCCGCUGGACAGCGCGCCAGCUGUCCUCUCGUCUCGGGGAGGCCCCGAGCUGGGGCCACAGAUCACUGGGGUUUCCUUAACUCUCUCUCCAUGGAUGGAGAAAACCAUACUCCAGAGAUAACCCCACGUGAGGUGGGAGGGGGCCUUCCACGAGGCCUGCUGCACUCUAAGCUGGGAUUCAUAGUUGCGGCCAGCAGGUGUCACCGCAGCAACAGGCUACUUCCCGCUGUCCGGGCAGUCAGAGGUGUGUGUGAGACGAAGGGAUGUGACUGAGCUGAAGCCAGAGGAGGCAGGAGGCAGGAAUCGGAAAAAAUACUUCUAGGAGCCGUUGUUGUGGAUGAGGGGGACAGCACAGCUUCCUGCACGGGAGCCGGGACCACGCACUUGGCCUGCGCCGGCUCGACGGGUCAGCGGAGACUGCCCUGCCCACGGCAGGCGUGGCCGGGCCCCUCGCCCACCCCAGGGUGCCCCGGAGCUCUGGACCGGAUGUGCCACCUGCCCGCCUCGCCCCGAGAUGCCGCCAGAGAACUUGGAGCUUCUGUUCAGAUAAGAAACGUUCAUUUUCUUAGAGAAAUCGGUUUUGUGCAGGUUGUAGGUCAGAGGACCUGGCGUAGGCUGUUGGGGAGCGGGAUCUCCCCUCCACCCCCCUGGACGGAGCAGUCACGCGGAUGUGGGCACUUCUCGGCUUUACCAGCCAAUGUCAUCCUGGGUGCUUUCCACCGUCUUCACUUCACACGCCCACCUGCCGGUGGGUUUGGGAAGGCACAGGGGUGGGCAGCAGACAGUCAAGAUCGUUGGCUGUUAAAGGAAAGGUAGAGCCUCCAGGGAGAGCAGGAGUCAGUCCCGCCAGACCACUCGCUGUGGCAGUGAGCCUGUGGCCCCCACCUUGACGUGGAGGGGGAGUUUGUGAGGUGUCUCCUCCGGUCCCUGACAUAUCUGCACGUCCCCAAGGGGGCCCAAGGGUGCUCGUGGCAAAAAGUAACCCUUGAGAGCUGAAACAUUCCCGUGGGGCUUGACCCUGCACACAGGCCUCUCCGCUGUCCUGAGGGGUGAGGGCGCGCUUGGGUGUCCAGACUCCAGGGAUGAACUGUAAAGCACACAUGUCGGGAUAUACGACUGUGUGGACGCGCUCUCCCUCCUAGGUCCAGGCUGUGUCUGGUGUCCUGGGAGUGGCAGCUGGAGAGCAGGGAGGGUGUGCUGUGGUGACCUCACUUGGGGCCAGGCAGAGCACGAAAUAAAAUGAGAAAAAUGCCAGCUCCUGGAGCGUCUCCUGAGGUGGGUGUUUGGCUGCUGCGUCUCACCUGCUGCUUCAUCGCCUGCCUGUGGCUCCCCAAAGACCCAGGAAGUCGGCAGCACUCCUGGAGACUUGACGUUCCCAACCCAGUCUUGUGCUCUCGUCCGCCUCUUCACACGGUACAGACUGGCUCUUGCUCCUGGUCCUCGGGAAGAGGCCUGUACAGUGUUCGUCUGUGAAGGUGAGAAGCAACAAGCAGCGCAUAUAAGCUGAAUGGUUCCCGAACAGCCUUUGUUGACUGAACAGAAAGCUGCCCUCUGUAGGCAUUGCUAUACGUCAAAAUCUGGGGCCCUCUGUCAGCAUUUAAAAUGCACGUACCGAGGUGUGAAGACGUGUACAUAAGAGAUGUCAGAGCCUUUCACGUAUAAAGAUGCUACGGGAAACACGUUACUGUCCUUCAGCGUGGGGUGGUGAGAUAAGUGAUGGUGUCUUCAAAGGGCAUACAAUGCUGCCUUGAAAAAGGAAGAAGUAGCACUAUAUGUGGCACAACGGCAUGAUUGGACCCUCAAGAGGAGGACCACGCAUACCAAGGUUUGGACAUUGCUGCAGUACCCAGCAGCAGAUGGUACAAAGGACUGCCUUGGAAUGGGUCCUCGGGAGCAAGGGCUGCAUUGGUGCCUGGUUUUACUCAUUCAGUUCUUUGAAAGCUAGUUUAGAAAAAGGAGUUACUUUUUUAAAGCACUACACAUGAUGAGGAAAGGAGGUUAGAAGCUAUUUGGAUUAAAUUUCCUAAAUGAAAGGGGACAAUCAAAAUAAAGGUUUUUUUUUUUUUAAGAUUGAUUUAUUUAUGCACACAAGAGCUGGGGUGUAGGCCAGAGGUGCAGGGGCGAGAGGACUCACCAGAGACAGAGCGGGGAGCAGAACAGGCAGAAGGACCAAAAUACACUGCUGAGGGGAGCAGCGGGAGACAGGCGAGGUCUACUGCACCAUGUGGGCCAGUUCCUUGCCCCGGGAUCGAACUCGUGAUGCAGAGGCUGCGGAUAGCUUCACAGUGCUGAGACUCUAACCCAGGGAGGCCCAAACAGUUUUAUUUUUGCCUCUUUCUCUAGUGUGAUAACAAGUUGGCACCCGAAGGAUCUCAGAAGUGGUAAAAGAAUAAAUCAGAGGAGGUCGCUCUCACCCAGCCUGGAGCUAGUCACGGAACUCACGGCUGCAGGCGGCCCACAUAGUCAGAUGCUGUCUGGCCCCUUGUGUUCAGUCAUAACAUUUGAGGUUGUGCAGGGGGAGAUAAGGACAAUGAGAGUCACAGACGCAGGAUGUCGGGCCUGUGGCCGGGAAGGAAUUCCCCGGCCUCCCUUCUUUUUUGGCGCCUUCCAGGGCCUCGGAACAACAUGACACUCGGAAUGGGGCCACUUUGAAGAGCUGACCGCACUUCCUCUGACCUGGGCGGAGCACUGGGCUGCGGAGCUGUCACCGCUCUGCACCGGGGUGUGGCCCUUUGGCCUGUGGGGUCCCGGACAAGUGUUCUGACCAGGCAUCUCAAAGCAAAAGCAAGUUCCCAUGCGCAGAGGAUGGGAGGAGGUCAGUGUGGGUGACCAGCAGGAGUGGGAUGGGCAGUGGCUACUUACGGAGUGGACGGCACCAGCCACCUGGAGCCUGCAUGGUGUCUGGUCCAUGUUUCUCCCAUGAGGAUAGAGAGGCCUGUUUUUCUAAGUAAAUAGCCCUGAGUUGGAAGCCCAGAACCUAGUUUUUGCACAGCCAAGAGCAACACGGGCACUCGGAAAUUCUACCAGCGAGCCAGAGUUUUAUCUGCUUCCGCAGCCCCUGGCGCGAUUUGUAAGAAGUGCCUCUCCGAUGAGGGAGCGAGUGUGUGGACGCCAGUUGACAGGGCUCAGAAGUACAGUGAAGGAAUCUCUCCUGAAAGCCCCCGCUCCGGAGCAGGCACCCACGUGAGCGGAUGCGGAGGCCCGGGGCAUGCGGGCCGAGUGGAAGCUCCUGGCCUCGGGCACGUGGAGCGCACACGUGCUGCGUGCUCACCUGUGACGAGUCCGAGCACGCCGCAAGUCGCCGGCGGCGGCGGGGUCGCGCCUUUGUGAAGCCUGCGGGCCCAGGACAAGGCCCACGUUGCACAAAAAUUUCACUGCUGGUUUUUAUAAAGGCCUUGGUUUCUUUUGGCCACCCUUUCUUCCCUUUGACCUGCUUUAAUCUUUGCACCGACAGUUUCCCACGGCCGAUGGCCAAGGGCCCUGCUUGCCCACGGGCUGACACCUGGGUACCAAAUUAAUAAAAAGUUCAGGCCCCAUAGAAAAAACCAGAACAAAUUGGAACAGCCCACUUGGAGGAGAAUGGCUGGUGGCCAGUCGAGUGUGACGGUGCUUGGCCGCCUUAGUCCUGGGGAAACGCGGAUGAGCAGAGGGCAGAGUGCAGAGACACCGGAUGACUCUACCUUGAUCCAGAUGUGAGGCCACGGAGGUGUCUGUGGUACGGGUAGGGCAGCAGCUGCCAUAUUCUGGGAAAAGCUGGGCACUGUCCGCUAAAGCUGAACCUAGGUCUGCUCAAGGAGCCAGCAAGCCCAUUCCCAACAGAACAUGUGGCCAUGUGGGCCACACGGCGCGUCCGUGUCUAGGGGAGCAAGGCCUGUCAGCAGCCCAAAAUGCAAAGACUCCAAAUAUUGGCGGGAUAAAUAAAUAGUAUGCACAUCCGAUGGAAUACUCCACACCCCUGCAAAAGGAGCUAGCUCAGCACAUAAAUAAUGUGGGCGCAUCUCAUAAGCGUGAUGUCAGAUGAAACAAGCUAGAUACACGUAAGAGAUUCCGUUUAUGUAAUGUCUAAGGAAAACUGACAUCCUGAGGUGCUUGUCCUGGGAAGGCAGUGAUGUGGCCAGGGCGGCACUCAAGGCAGGGCUUCUGGGGUGCUGGUGAGUUCCUAAUUUUUGACCCCGGUGAAGGUUCCAGAGGGGUAUUCUGUUGGGACAAGUCAUCGAGUUGGACGCGUUAUUUAAAAGAUAAAAUCUUACGGUGAUGUUUAUGCGAAGUAGGGUCGGUCCCUCUCAACUCUGAGCUAAGUGGUAGCCCUGGCAAGUGACUCAGAGGCAGCAUCUGGCCUGUAGGUGCUCCGAGGGUUGGCGUGGCGGAUGCUGUGGACGCCGGCGAUGACACAGCUGGCGUUACUGCACGUGGCCGUGCGAUGACCCCGCCGUCAGGGACAACAGCCAGGACGAGAUGAGGACCGGUCUCGUCUCACGGGGCCAGGCCCUGGACCUCCGCCCGCCGCCCCGCCCUGCACACCACAGCUCGUCCCACAAGGGGUGCUGAGAAGGGGCGUCUCCCUGGAGUCGUCGCCGACACCCUCCCCACGUGCUGUCCCUGCUUCCUCCGGCUUUGAUGUGCCCGAAUUGCCCCCUCUGAUGGCCGCAGGAAGGACCAUUUCCUGCUCCGAGAGGCACCUGGAGACUCACCUGGGUUGAACCUGGGCAUCCGGCUCCUGGGGGUAGGUGUGGCCGGGCAGGUGAGGAGAUGCUAGACGCAUGGAGCAGAGGGCAGCCCCCACCCAGGGCAGAUGAGGGGGGCAGCUCCCUGACCUGGCGCCCGGCUGAGGCCCUGGGCUGAGUGCUCCGGCUCCCCUGGCUGCGUGAGGGUCAGCGAGAGCCACCCUAGCCGCAGCCACCCGGCCACCCGCCUCUGCUGGAGCCGUGAGGGCCCCGGGGCCCUGAGGCCUGAAGCUGAGCCCCUGGGGUUGCCCAUGGCGCGGUGCCCGCACAGGCCAGAGCCACGCGGACGGCGCGGAAGACACGGCGUGACUGCCGGCCCAGCCCCUGCUAGCGCGGGCCCCAGGAGCGCAGCACGCAGCCCCGCCUCAGGCGCCUCAGUGGAACUCAGCCCAGCUGGGGCUCCUCAGAGAUUGCAGACGCCGGGAGGAAGACAGGCACACGGGAGCGUGGGAAGUCCACGUGUCAGCACACGUGCCGCAAGUUGCCUUUUCUAUUCUUCUUGUUCACGGUAUCGAACCCAUUUCUCUUGCUGUUACAGAAGCUCUGAGUGUCUGUUCUAAAGCUUUAUUGUUGCUCAGCCUCCGAUAGACACACGGCAAUAGAGAUAAACUGGAUCCAGGUGUUUUUUAAAAGGAAGCCAGAGGGUGUCCGAGCUAGACUGAGGAGGAGGCAGCGUCGGGACUGGCUGGCGCUCUGACACAGCCCUUGUGGAAAGUUCAGUCACAGACGGAAGGGGAGAGUAAGAGCCUCCGUCACCCCGUCACUCAGACGCUGAGGCGCUCGCCCUCGGCCUGCGGGCAUCUGCUGAACAAUUGCGAAUGCAAGGUUUGCGUCCGGGAACGGCCUCUGCAGCCUGGCCGGCGCCCGGAGGCGCUGGCUCAGCCUCACGCUUGGUGGUGGUUGUUCACGCCACGUACCCGUGCUUGUGGCUGCACGAAAGUCUGCCGGGCCCCAUCCGGAGAGGCUGCGUGGUUUUUACGCCGCAGUGUGUUUCGUCCACUCAGAAACCCUCUGGUGUCCAUGUGCUCCCCGGCGACGCCCAGAGCCGAGACGCUGGUAACCCCGGGCGAGACCCUUCAGAACACAAGGGCCCCGGGGGCCAGUCCCUCGCUGCAGACGUGGAGGGGCUCUGGCCCCGGGGGAGCCCCGGCCGCGGAGGCUUUCCAGGCCGCGGGCCCUUGUUGGACCCUGUAGGAGAAGUAAGAAAGCGUCAGGCUUUUCUGCCCUCCUGCCAUCGGGAUGGAUGAUGGCUCUGCAGAACUGAACGCGUGUCUGAUGGCGGCACCCGGAGUGGGGUGGGGGCAAGCGUAAGUAGGUGCACCUGUGCUGAGAGACGGCGUACGGGGCGGCGUCACGGGGACGCCAGGAGAACCACGAGAGCAGGAGCAGAGGAGGAGGAGGAGCACAAAGGGGAGAACCACAGAAGCAGCAGAGAGAAGGCCGCGAGCCCAGAAAGAGUGAAGACUUGCUGGGGGCUGGGAGGCCUGCAGCCUACCGGCCCCCCGGCCCCCCGGCACCCCUGCCUGCCGUGUACCGGGUAAAUCCCAGGAAAAGCCUGCAAAAGCCACUGAGGGCUCCAGGACUCUCUCCUUCUCUACCCCGUCUGCUCGGGUCAUAGGGAUCCCGCCCUGUGGCCUUCCUGCCUUUACAGCCCCCUGGUGCCAGUGCCAAUUGCUACUAGGGAGACACUCGGAGAGGCACCGUCCAAUGCCAUCACGUGCGGAGGCGCCUGGAGGAGGUUCCAUGGGUUGGAACCAGCAGCUCCCCCACUGCCCCUUCCCCUCCUGACCCCAGGCUCUGAGGCAGGAGGCAGAGGAGACCCCGAGGAAGGCCAGGAGGGGCCUGGUCCCCCUGGAGAGCACGUCUGAGGGGCCCCACCCCCUGGGCUCUGGGCAUCUUGAGACUUGGCCUCCACCGUCUGCCCCAGAGAAGUGCCCAGAAAGUUCCUGAAGCUCUCGGCAGUGGCACUGGGAGAUUGCUGAGACCACCCUUGUGGCCUUGUCACACCUGCAGCCUCUAAUGAAACCAACACAGAGGCCCGAGCCGACCCCCAUAGCAGGGCGUGAGCCGCCUGGAGACCCUCGCACCUCCGCCUGUGGAAACAGAAGCCCAGGCCUGGGCCCGAGCCCCCCUAGACAGACCCCUGCGGGCUCGCGCCCUCCCUGGCGCCCUCUCUGUGACGUCACCUGGUCCCUGAGAGGAAAGAGCGGAUGUCAUGGGGAACGACAAAUCACGCGUUCUCUCAGAAACGCCAGCACAGCAGCUCCAAGGCCAAGCCCGGCCCCGCCCAGCCCGGAGCGGCCAAGGAAAGGGACCAGCAGAGCUGACGCGUGGAAGUUCCUCUUCCUCCAGGAUCAAGCCAUAAAGCAGGUAAACAGCACCUGUCCGGCUUAUCAUAAAGCAGGUAAACAGCACCUGUCCCGCUCGGGGCCUGGGUGGGGGUUGGCCUGGCUCCGUCUUGAGCUCCCUGCAGAGGUGUCGGCCACGCCCCGUCCCUCCCUGCAGCUCUGUGGGCACCCAGCGUUCACCCCACACCCCCGGCCGCGGGGUGCCUGAGCCACCUGGUUGUAGAAUAAAACACCGUGGCUGGGCCUCCCCUGGGGGGCAAGGGGUCCCGCCUGCCCUGAGCGUCCAUCCACGUGGACACACUCGGGGGGCCUCCCUCAUGCACAGCAGCCUCAGCGCGCCCAUCCUGUAGGAAGCACGUGGCGCUGGGUUUGAGGUUCGGCAGAGCGGUCAGGGGAGGAGGCCGGCGGUGGCGACUCACCCAGGCCACUGUGCCCCUCAACUGCAUGUGGGCUGGGGAUACCCGCACCCGCCCACGGGGCAGUCAAGCCAUCGCCUGGCCGGUGUUGGGAGGCAUCGGGAGUCUCUGGGAGGGGAGCUGGUCGCAGGGGCGGGGCC